rnacentral:rRNA from 1 species
GCGGCAUCGCUCAACGGAUAAAAGGUACCCCGGGGAUAACAGGCUGAUCAUUCCCAAGAGUCCAUAUCGACGGGAUGGUUUGGCACCUCGAUGUCGGCUCGUCGCAUCCUGGGGCUGGAGCAGGUCCCAAGGGUUCGGCUGUUCGCCGAUUAAAGCGGCACGCGAGCUGGGUUCAGAACGUCGUGAGACAGUUUGGUCUCUAUCCUCUGCGCUCGUUGGAAUCCUGAGGAGGCCUGCCCAUAGUACGAGAGGACCUGGGUGGACGAACCUCUGGUAUGCCAGUUGUCGCGCCAGCGGCAUGGCUGGUUGGCCACGUUCGGGAGGGAUAACCGCUGAAAGCAUCUAAGCGGGAAGCCCGCUCCAAGAUAAGGAUUCCUAACCACCCCUCGAGGUGGUGGCAGACCCCAGGUAGAACACCUGGUCGAUAGACCGGACGUGGAAGCCGCGCGAGCGGUGGAGCUGACCGGCACUAACGGUCGAAA